rnacentral:rRNA from 1 species
UACGUAGGGGGGCGAGCGUUGUCCGGAUUUAUUGGGCGUAAAGAGCGUGUAGGCGGCCAGGUAGGUCCGUUGUGAAAACUCGAGGCUCAACCUCGAGACGUCGAUGGAAACCAUCUGGCUAGAGUCCGGAAGAGGAGAGUGGAAUCCUGGUGUAGCGGUGAAAUGCGCAGAUAUCAGGAAGAACACCUAUGGCGAAGGCAGCUCUCUGGGACGGUACUGACGCUGAGACGCGAAAGCGUGGGGAGCGAACAGG